ACAAUUUUGAAUUUUAUUGCUAACAAAAAUUAACAACAUGGCUCACAUUUCCAUGUAUAUUUAUAUUUUGGUCAUAUUUUGGUCUCUACUUCUUGAUGUGACCAACUGCACUCCUAUCCCAUGCAUUCAGGCAGCUGAUUGUCCAAAAAGAUUGUGCUUUCUUCCUUUAAGAGCGUUGUGUAUUAAGGGUAAUUGUGUGUGCGUGUAAGUGUAACAAUAAAGAUAAAAAAUAAGGAUAAUAUUCUGGUAUACAUAUUAUAUAGAUAUGUAUCGGUAUACGAUUUAAGUUGAUGGUUUGUGAUUGGUCCACAAAUAGUAUUUAAUAUAGAAAAAUUAAUCAAUACUAUUUGUAAACCAAUCAGAAACAUCCACCUCAACUAAUGUACGAGUACAUAUCCACAUUAUAUGUGUAAAAAAAAUUAAAAAGAAAAUAAUACAUGCUACUAAAAUAAGAAAGUAUAUAAUUUUAGAAUGAAUUUUAUUUGUA